AGUGAACGCUGGCGGCGUGCUUAACACAUGCAAGUCGAACGAGAACGGAUUAUAGCUUGCUAUAAUUGUCAGCUAAGUGGCGCACGGGUGAGUAAUGUAUAGGUAAUAUGCCUCUUACUAAGGGAUAACAAAUGGAAACGUUUGCUAAUACCUUAUACUCCUUAUUAACAUAAGUUAAUAAGGGAAAGAUUUAUUGGUAAGAGAUUAGCCUGUAUUGUAUCAGUUAGUUGGUGGGGUAAUGGCUUACCAAGACUAUGACACAUAACUGGUUUGAGAGGAUGAUCAGUCACACUGGAACUGAGACAUGGUCCAGACUCCUACGGGAGGCAGCAGUGGGGAAUAUUGCACAAUGGACGAAAGUCUGAUGCAGCAACGCCGCGUGGAGGAUGACACAUUUCGGUGCGUAAACUCCUUUAUAUGAGAAGAUAAUGACGGUAUUAUAUGAAUAAGCACCGGCUAACUCCGUGCCAGCAGCCGCCGUAA
rnacentral:rRNA from 1 species